rnacentral:rRNA from 1 species
GAUGCAACGAGAAGAACCUUACCUACUCUUGACAUCCAGACAAUUUAGCAGAGAUGCUUUAGUGCCUUCGGGAACUCUGAGACAGGUGCUGCAUGGCUGUCGUCAGCUCGUGUUGUGAAAUGUUGGGUUAAGUCCCGCAACGAGCGCAACCCUUAUCCUUUGUUGCCAGCGAUUCGGUCGGGAACUCAAAGGAGACUGCCGGUGAUAAACCGGAGGAAGGUGGGGAUGACGUCAAGUCAUCAUGGCCCUUACGAGUAGGGCUACACACGUGCUACAAUGGCGUAUACAAAGAGAAGCGACCUCGCGAGAGCAAGCGGAACUCAUAAAGUACGUCGUAGUCCGGAUUGGAGUCUGCAACUCGACUCCAUGAAGUCGGAAUCGCUAGUAAUCGUAGAUCAGAAUGCUACGGUGAAUACGUUCCCGGGCCUUGUACACACCGCCCGUCACACCAUGGGAGUGGGUUGCAAAAGAAGUAGGUAGCUUAACCUUCGGGAGGGCGCUUACCACUUUGUGAUUCAUGACUGGGGUGAAGUCGUAACAAGGUAACCAAGGGCGAAUUCGCGGCC